AGACUUUUCAUCUCUCUCUCUCUCUUCCUCAUCUCCUUCAAUAUCCAUUCAAUGCCUUUGAGAUUUUUUCACUCUCUUCUGAUUUUUUAUUGUCCUCAUCUCUUUCUAUCUUUUUUUCCUCACUUACAGACUUCUCUUUCCAUUACUAGUCUCUUACAAUGGUUCUGUCUCCUCUUAUCAAUCUAUCCUCUCUUGAUUACCUCCAUUAACUAAUGUUAUCGUGUCGCCGAUAUUUUUGUCGAACUCGUCACCGUCGGAUACUCCUCAUCAUCAACGAACACAAGAGAAGGCAGAGCAUCAGAUUUGUAACUAUUAUGCAGAGGGAAGAGAAUUAUUUUGGGAGAUUUUGAGUGGUCCGUUAGUUUGGGGCCAUCACCGUUGCCUGGCCUGGCCGCCUAGCCUCACCAUCGUCGCCAUGGUGUAUGGGUUAGGGUCCAAAUCCCUAAUCCAAACCGCCUGGGAUCAUGAAAGAACCCAACCAAAAGUGAAGUGACCGUGGAAUACAGCAAACAACGACCGACAACCAGCAAACGACGGAUGACCAGCGAGAAUCUGCUAGUAGUAAAAUUGAUAUGCUUUGCUGGAUAGUUGAGUAUAUAUGUAUGUAUAUAUAUGUUGUUGUGGUGAGGGAAGUUAGUUGUGUGUAGUGGCAAAGAUAGCAUUUUAAUUCAGUGGGGCAAUAAUAAAUUGU